GCCUGACCAGCUCAGUCAGUAGAGCAUGUGACUCUUGAUCUCGGGGUUGUGAGUUCAAGCCCCAUGUUGGGCA
rnacentral:tRNA from 1 species